rnacentral:rRNA from 1 species
GGAAGUGGUGGUGGCCUUUAGGGGCCAGGGCCAGGUUCCCCUGUUUUUCAACCCCCUGUGAAAUUUUGAAUGAUCUGGGAAAUUGUCCUUCAAGUUGUUCGAACUGGUUUGGUGGGAAUUUAAAGUUUUGGGGGGGCAACACCGUUUAUUUAAUUAACCCCCCCCCAAAUGUAUGUCUACGAAUGUCAUUUAAUGGGCCUUGUGCCUAUAAACCAUAAUACAACUUUCAACAACGGAUCUCUUGGCUCUCGCAUCGAUGAAGAACGCAGCGAAAUGCGAUAAGUAAUGUGAAUUGCAGAAUUCAGUGAAUCAUCGAAUCUUUGAACGCACCUUGCGCCCCUUGGUAUUCCGAGGGGCAUGCCUGUUUGAGUGUCAUUAAAUUCUCAAACUCACAUUUAUUUGUGAUGUUUGGAUUGUUGGGGGUUGCUGGCUGUAACAAGUCGGCUCCUCUUAAAUGCAUUAGCAGGACUUCUCAUUGCCUCUGCGCAUGAUGUGAUAAUUAUCACUCAUCA